AGACGAGAGGGGUGCACUCCUGCGCGGGCCGCAGAGGCUCGGUGGAGGCCCGCGCGCGGCAGGGCAGGCGAGGGCACGCCCAGCGCCGGGCCUGCUGGGUCUCGCUCCGGGCGGAGGAGGCGCGCUCCGCAGCCGUUUUAAGGUAUGGCCACCAUCCGCCGAAAGCCAGGCGGGGAGACUCCGGGCCCCAGGCUAGAACGACCGCGCCCCUUAAAGAGCCUGGGGGACCUGGAAUCGCCAAGUGGAAGACACAAAAGCGGUUCAUCUCUGAGUAAGAGGGUGCGGUAAACCCUCGAGGAGGGUGAGGCUCCCAGAAUACGCAGAAAGGAAGACCCCGGGGCAGCCCGAGGACAGCCGCCGCGCGGAAGUCUGGAGUGGCUCACUGCAGAUUCACCACCCGGCGGUCCCGCACCUUCCCGUCGGAUUCAGUCCGAAGACAGCGGGGAGGGCGGGUGAUCUCGGGGAAUUUACGCCGCUUCGUUCCUGUUACACACGUCUGUGGAGUGUUUAUUUUAUACCAGGCCUUUAGCCGAGCUCAGAGGAUACGCUAGUUAUAAAACAGACAUGAAAAUUACAGUUCCCUCACCUGUAGAAUGGGCGGAGGGAUGGGCUUAACCUCCAUUCCAUGACGGAAUUUCAUGCAGUAUAAUACAGGCCUUAGCGAUUUACAUCAAGUAUAUAAAGCUUACAACAACUUAAAUACAAAUUUAAAAUUUUAUGAAAUUUAGAAUUGGAAUCCUUGUUUUUUCUUCAACGUCACCAUAUUUAGCCAUUAUUGUGGUUUUGAAAGUAUUGUAAAUUUAAUUUUACAAGGAAAUUUCAUAAUUGUAAGCAAAUAUGGGAUGUUAUAGUUAAACCGUAAUUAAAAACUUGAAACUCAA